UUUAAUUAUGUUUUUUCCUUUUUAAUUAAUUAAUUAGUCUAUCUUCUAUUAUAUUUAUUGUAUUUGCUUUUCAAUGCAGAGGUCAGAGACACAGUUGUUGUUUUGAAUGCUCAAAAAUCCAUAUCUAAGGUUUUGAUGGCAACAAUUGGACUACUGGAGUGUUUUAUGAUAAUGUUAUUUGUUGUUUUUGUAAAGCCCUUUGAAGAUAAUAUUUUAUAAUUUAUAUUUUAAUUUAUUGGUAGGUGUUAUUUAAACUUUAUCUGCAGCAGGAGUUCUGCUCACUCAAACAAAACAAAUGAAAAAUUAUUAGGAAGGCAACAAAUGAAUAUUUAGUUGCAAAAAACAACCCAAAAAAAAUUGAUUUGGUUAA